rnacentral:rRNA from 1 species
GACGUAGGGCGUGAGCGUUGUCCGGAUUUAUUGGGCGUAAAGAGCUCGUAGGCGGUUUGUCGCGUCGUUCGUGAAAACUCACAGCUUAACUGUGAGCUUGCGGUCGAUACGGGCAGGCUAGAGUUCGGUAGGGGAGACUGGAAUUCCUGGUGUAGCGGUGAAAUGCGCAGAUAUCAGGAGGAACACCGGUGGCGAAGGCGGGUCUCUGGGCCGAUACUGACGCUGAGGAGCGAAAGCGUGGGGAGCGAACAGG